UGUCAGAAUUCGUGUCGAGCUAUCACCUGCUUCAAGUAAUCCAGGAUAGGCUGUGUCCGUUUAAGGUGGCCUAUUCUCGAUGACUUGUCUCAGGUGAUGGUCUGCUUCACACCUCCAAAGA
rnacentral:precursor_RNA from 17 species